CUACGGGUUGCAGCAGUGGGGAAUAUUGGACAAUGGGCGCAAGCCUGAUCCAGCAAUGCCGCGUGAGUGAAGACGGCCUUAGGGUUGUAAAACUCUUUCGCUAGGGAAGAUAAUGACUGUACCUAGUAAAGAAGUCCCGGCUAACUCCGUGCCAGCAGCCGCGGUAAUACGGAGGGGACUAGCGUUGUUCGGAAUUACUGGGCGUAAAGAGUUCGUAGGCGGACUGACAAGUUAGAGGUGAAAUCCCAGGGCUCAACCCUGGAACUGCCUUAAAAACUGUCAGUCUAGAGACCGGAAGAGGUUAGGGGAAUACCUAGUGUAGAGGUGAUAUUCGUAGAUAUUAGGUGGAACACCAGUGGCGAAGGCGCCUAACUGGUCCGGUACUGACGCUGAGGAACGAAAGCGUGGGGAGCAAACAGGAUUAGAUACCCCCGUAGUC
rnacentral:rRNA from 1 species